rnacentral:lncRNA from 1 species
AUGUUCCAUGUCCUCUCUCUUUCUGUGUGUUGUCGUCCAUGUAUGGCGAGGGGCAUGUCUCUCUCUCUCUCUCUCUCUCUCUCUCUCUCUCUCGUCCAUGUAUGGCUUCAGUUAGAGAGGGGCAUGUCUCUCUCUCUCUCCCUCUCUCUCUCUCUCUCUCGUCCAUGUAUGGCUUCAGUUAGAGAGGGGCAUGUCCUCUCUCUUUCUGUGUGUUGUCGUCCAUGUAUGGCGAGGGGCAUGUCUCUCUCUCGUCCAUGUAUGGCUUCAGUUAGAGAGGGGCAUGUCUCUCUCUCUCUCCCUCGUCCAUGUAUGGCUUCAGUUAGAGAGGGGCAUGUCUCUCUCUCUCCCUCCCUCUCUCGUCCAUGUAUGGCUUCAGUUAGAGAGGGGCAUGUCCUCUCUCUCUCUCUCUCUCCUCUCCUCUCUCUCUCUCUCUCUCUCUCUCUCCUCUCUCUCUUCUGCUCUCUUCUCUCUCUCUCUCUCUCUCUCGUCUCUCUCCUUCUUCUCUCGUCUCUCUUCUCUCUCUCUCUCCUCUCUCUCUCUCUCUCUCUCUCUCUCUCUCUCUCUCUCUCCUCUCUCUCUCUCUCUCUCUCUCUCUCUCUCUCUCUCGUCCAUGUAUGGCUUCAGUUAGAGAGGGGCAUGUCCUCUCUCUUUCUGUGUGUUGUCGUCCAUGUAUGGCGAGGGGCAUGUCUCUCUCUCGCUCUCUCUCUCUCUCUCUCUCUCUCUCGUCAUGUAUGGCUUCAGUUAGAGAGGGGGCAUGUCUCCUCUCUCUCUCUCUCUUCUCUCUCUCUCUCCUCUUCUCUCUCUUCUCUCCUCGUCCAGUAUGGCUUCAGUUAGAGAGGGGCAUGUCCUCUCCAAACUUCAUACAGUGGGCAGCGUUCUUGGCUUCAACACCAUCUGGACAACAACAGGUAGAAGGGCAGGAGAGAAAUAAAAGGAGAGAAAGAAGAGAUUUAAGCACAUGGGGAACAUCAUAAAGAAAAUACCUUUUCACACAGCAUUAUUCCUAGCCUCAGACUACUACUGGCCCUGUGCUAUCUUCACACAAGCAGAGUACGGUCUUCACACAAGCAGAGUAUUCUGAAACCAACGGUCAACUUUAUGGGAAAAUUCUAAUUAGGUAACAAAGUAACUGAUUGGUUAGCCCUGAAAAGUUGGUGCUAACCCUGCUCCAGAGCAUAGCCAGCUAGCCCUGUGCUAAGGUUGGUGCUAACCCUGCUCUAGAGCACAGCCAGCUAGCCCUGGGCUAAGGUUGGUG